CAAUGUACAUGCAAAAUGAAAAACUGCUUUAAAAUAAUAAAUCUUGUAGUGUACUACAUACGGACUGCUGCAGUAUACAUUUUUAAUUUAUCGGUAGUCGAUAAACCUAAAUUCGCGCGCCGAUCGGAACAUUUUUCAUUUUGUCUCCAUUCGUUACUUUAACCGAACGCACGUCCCGGUAUAAAUUAUUUAAAAUAAACUUAUAUUAUAUUCAUAAUAAUAAUGUCUGCGGGGAGAAAAAUGUGGGCGGUAAUGACACGGACGGCGGUAUACGUGUUCGACAAAUAUCACUUCUCUAUCAACACAUUCAGCGGAUCCGCGAUGAUGUGUAUUGGUGACGUCGCACAACAGAACGUAGAACGUUACCACGGGUUGUCAGAGGGUUACGACUGGUCAAGAACCGCGCGAAUCGCCGUGAUAGGCAGCAUUCUGGGAUCGGUACAGCAUAUUUUUUAUCGGUCACUGGACAACCGAUAUCCAGCCAGGGACCCACUCACGAUAUCCAAAAAGUUAUUCAUCGACCAAACGUUGUGCACACCACUUAUAAUCGCAGUGUUCAUCUACGGGCUAGGUUUCCUGGAACACAAGACUUUGGACAAGAUCAACGAAGAGUUUAAAGACAAAUGUGCAAUGAUAUUUUUGGUUGACUGUGCUGUUUUUGUUCCAACACAAUACAUUAACUUCAAGUUUUUAGACCCAAAAUACAGACUUCUAUUUACAAACAUGGUGUCUAUUAUGUAUGAUACUUUUCUCUCUUAUAUUAAGUAUACACACGAUAUUCUCAAAGAAAUGGAAAAACAAAAUAACAAUAACAAUAAAAGUUGAAAUAUAUAGUCAAUCUCAACAAAAAGUAAAACAUAUUUUCAGAUAUAAUAUAAAUAUUUGUAUUAAAAACUAAACUAAGUUGAGAUCAUGGACACCAGAAGCAACCAGUUGUCUAGCAAGCCAAUCAAGACCAUCAUGAAGACCAGCACCACUUUGUGCGUCACAAGCUUGUAUAUGCCAACUACGCCCACAGCACAAUUUAUACAAGCCAAAUAAUUCAGUAAUAGUUUCAAUUGUAACACAUCCAUGAAUAUCCUUAAAAAUACAGACAAAAAAAUUUUUUUUUAAUUAUUAAAUUAAUUUGAAGAAAAAUAAAAUCAUACUUGUUUGUUGGCUAAAAUUAAUAAUGCAGCAUCUUUCAAUUCUUUUUCUGUCAUCAGCUUAGAUAACUCGUUAGAUGAUUCUAACAAUCUUUGUGGGUCACUGGAGUCAAUCACAAAAACAACUGCCUAAACGUCACAUUCAUUGUUAUAAGACCAUUUUACAAGUCAAUAUGCCGUUAUAUAUUUAAUACUUAAUAAUACAAGACAUUUUUGAUAGCAUCGUUGUUGAUGGGGUAUGUUGUAUUAUAAUUUAUUAAUUUAAAAAUAAAAUAUUAUCUUAAUAAACCAAA